rnacentral:lncRNA from 1 species
UGACAAACAUGUCAGUUCGCCGAGCUGGGUAACGCCAGCUUAUGACCUGUGUGGGGGCAUCAAGGUGAUUGAACAAGGCUAUGGCUUGCUAAGCUGGUCUGGAGGUUGCAACUUGCUGGCUUGCCCAAUCCAAGUUGAGAGUUGAGCCAUGGGUCCUUUGCGAAGGCAUGGGUUUCCUGGUUACUGGACAGGAGGGCACCGCGUGAGGCUGGUUUCACAGAGCAGCGACAACCUCCGGUUCUUGACAGUGGAGGGAUAACAGGCUGCUGCACCUCCUAUCCCAAAUGAGCUUGGUGAGCCUCGUCCUCUUGAACAAUCAUUUUUUUUUAUCCUCCGUGCGGAGAGCAACUAAGAUGGCCCGUGCUUCAAGGAUUCCAUCCCUGACUCCAUUCAAGAACAUUGCAGUCAUUACAUCUCCAAACUCUUCUGAAUUUUGGAGCCUCCCAACAACAGCAUCCAAUACCCUCUCUAAUUCUUCAGCUCUUUCUUUCAAAACANCACUAUCCNUNUCAUACUUUGCCACACCAUAAAGGUUGUCUAGUCUCUUCCCAACAAACGCAUCAUAUUGCAUGUUGAAUUUCUGAAUCAGUUCGUCAUAUUGAUUUUUCGAAGAGCUGGCUGAGUUCUGAGGAGCAGUUUUAUGUGAUAAUCUGUUGCGGAGAAUUUGGUGGCUCUCCUUCAACUUCCAGAAGGUUUUAGUUUUGAGUUCGGAUUCCGAAGUACUUUGCUGCUUCAUCAUCAUCAUGAAUAUUUGCAUCAAAGGGUCGUGAGAGGGAGGAAGUGUCACUGUACUCCAAUCCAAUCGAGGAAUCCACAGAUUUUGUUGUAAGGGUGAUUCGAAAGUUCCUUUAAUCCCUCUCCUAUUUGCCACAGUAUUUAGUGUUGCCCACACGUCCAAAUCAGGAAACCUCAGCUUUGCUUCUAAGAGUCCGGAGUAAAUUCCAUUGAAGUAUGUCCUAUGUUCAGCUGACGGUAUUAGCUCCAUCCCUUCAGCUGUCCAUUCAAUCCUAGGACCCUUCUCCAAGGUAGCUGUAAAGAUUUCAUCAAUAUCCAUAGAAGGAAAUCUAUUCCUUGCCUCAAAAAGUCCAUCCCUCACUCCUUCAUACAAUGUUUCCCACGCUAUUCCUUCCAGAUAAGCAAAGUAGCCUUUUUCCUCCUCCUCACUUUCCAUAUGGCCAGAGGUUGAAGCUUCGUUGACAAUCACGGGAUAGGGAUAAGUAAAUAGGAGAUGUUCCAUGUUGAUUUCUUCUUCAUACACAAAAGCUCCCCAACCACUUAUCAUCAAGGACGAAGUCGCAUCAUACGCAACCUCAACCAGAUUCCACUCAUCCUCCAGAAGUGCAUCAAGGCCAAACCACUCCUUCUCACUGAACAAAACUCGUAAAUCACACACCAAGAUGUGUUCUGCUUCAAUUCUAAAGUUCUGAUACCCUUUGCGAGGAGCAUAUCGACCGUUGAUAAGUAGACGCAGAUCAACAAGGUGACGGCGACCAUAUUCCUCCCUUUGAUUUGGAUUUUCGAAGUGGAAGAUCAUGGCUAGAACAAUGUUAGGAAACUUGCCACGAACCCAAAAACCAGGAAUCCUUUCGACUCCCACGAAGUUAAACCAUUCUGGAAUCUCAGUUAAAAAUGGCAUCACCAUUUCAAUUCCACCAACCCCUUUCUUCACCUAUCAUAUCAUUGUAACAGUUUCAAUUGUCUCUUCUGUAUGCAUUUUAAUAAAUCUUAUCCUUUCAUGACUAUGACUAAAAAUACCUUAAAUACAAGUUAUUUUAAGAAAAAUGCAAAGGUACUUAUAGGUACAAGAUGUAACUUAAAUAAUAGACUUAUACCUGACACCAUAGCAUGUUUGAUGUCUCUUUUGUUAACUUGAAACAAAAUCUUGCAUCUACUUUCUGAACAGUGGACGGCAACUCUGAAAUUUCUUCAAGGUCUAAACAAUGAUGAACAUCAAGAAUUCUCAAGCUGGUGGGUUCAGAAAUUUUUUUAAGCUUCUUGCUUCCAUUCAAAUCGAGACUUGUCCAGUCACCACAUUGCUUGAUGCACGAAGGGAUAGAUACAAAAUUGUUCUCUGAAACAAUCAAUUCUUCUAAGUUUGGCAACAUGAAUACGCUCCUUGGUAAAUACUUAAGUUCCUUAUUACUCGAUAUGUCUAUAGAAACAAGCCCAGUAAGAUUACUGAUGGAUUCUGGAAGCUCUUGAAUACCCGUAUUUUUCAUUUUAAUCUUCAGUGACUUGGUCAUUUCUUGCAUUAUCUCUGGGAAAUGAUCAAUGCUUUCACAUAAGUUGAGGUCAAAGACUUCUAGAGAUGGUAGAAACAUUCUGGACAUGAAAAUUUGAAGUUUUGUGCAUUCUGAAACACUUAAAUGAGAAAGCCUUUUCAAAAAUCCAACAGAUUCAUGGACUGCAAUUAGGUUUCUACAAUGAUCAAGUCUCAGUUCUCUUAGAUUCUGAAGUUCGGACACAUCAGGUAUUUCAAUGAUACGUUGGUUAUAUGAAAAGUCCAUAUUAGUCAAGCAUGGAAAUUUCUGCCAAAUAUACAAAAUGUCAAUAAGAAUUAUCAUUUGCUGCAUGUUGAGUGAUCAACUUAAUACUGUGAGUAAAUAUGGAAGAUUUUGUUCAAUGAAAAACUGAAACGUAAAAAAUAGAAUAAUAUGAUAGAGAAUUGUACCUUGAAUGACAGCUCUUCCAAUGUUAGAGAACUUCUAGGCAAAUUGAAAACAACGAUUUUCUUUGGAUGAAAUUUUGUUGGGAAAGAAUUUGAAGGAUAGUUGUCCCAGUCAAGCAGUCUUAAAUGAUUCGGUAAAUGUUCAGGUUCAGAUGAAAAGGAUGUGUUUCGAACAAUGAGAAUUCUGAGGCAUUUCAUUUUCUGAAACUCAGUACCACUCCAUUUUACCUUUUCUUGCUGAGGAGGAUCAAGCAUAAUCCCUUGAAUCUUAUCACUUCCCUUUAACAUAAGUACAAAGAAUCAACAUCAAUUGCAUAUUAUCAUUAAUAUAUAAUACUAUAAUGUAUAAAUAAAAAACAAAUAGAGUAAAAAAGUAGACGAUUACUGAAUCUUCGGUUAGUAUUUGAAGAACAUCUUCAUAAUCCCAUAUUCUGCUACGUUCACCAGGAUUUGGUGCUUCCUGCCUAACAAUCUGUCUACCCAUAUCUUGUAUUAGAUCAUGCAUCUUGAGGCAGCCAUUCUCGAUAGUUAUGAGAGAUUUAUUAACAAGUUCUUUCAUUUUGGAUUCUGAAUAAAAUUCCUCAAGUAUUUCGUUCACGUAUUCCACUUUCUCCCCUUUAAAGAAGCAAGCUAUGUCCAAGAAAACUUGUUUGGCAUUAUAAUCCAAUCUAUCGUAGCAUACUUGAAGCACAUUAUCUUGAAUCUUUUUAUUUGGAGUCUUCUUAUAUUCUUCCAGUGCAUCUUCCCAAGCAUCUAAACUUUCUCCAUGAAGAGUAGCUAAAUCAGAGCCUAGCACUUUUAAAGCCAGUGGAAGACCUUUAGCGUAAUUUACAGCACGCAUAGACACAUCUUCAAAACCAGUUUUAGGACAACCUUGUCCGAAGGCAUUCCAACAAAAGAGCUCCAAAGAAUGUUGUUCAUCAAGUUCCUUCAUUUCAUAAACAUUUCCAACAAUUAGGAGAUCUCUUUCCCUUGUCGUUAUAAUGAUCCUACUACCUGGACCAAACCAAUCACACCCUCCUGCCAACUUUUCUAACUUUUCUUUAUCAUCAACGUCGUCAAGAACCAAAAGAACUUUCUUCUUUGGUUUUAUUUCAUAAAUUCCUUUAUUGGUACUUCCCAACUUAGUUUCGGACUCCUCAAACAUCUCAGAUAAAAGUGUCUUCUGUAGAUCUUCCAUGCCAUUGAUUGUGUUUGAUUUUUCUCUAACACCGGCAAGAAAACUUGCAGCAUCAAAGUGUCGCACAAUUUUGUUAUACAAAGCUUUGGCAAGUUCCGUUUUUCCAAUUCCACCAAGUCCAUAUAUGCUCAACAUUUUUACAGUGUUGUCAUCAAUGUCCAAAAGUGACAUAACCUUUUCUAUGUGGGGCUCAAGUCCAAGAGGGUUCUGACCAGUAUAUAAAGGUUUACGACAUAGAUUCAUUUGGACCUUCCCAACAAUUUCUUCAAUAUAAUCCUUUUCAAAUCUACAGGAGUAAAAUGUAUUAAUUAUUUGUUUUAUAUCUGGAUUUCUUUUUUGUUAUUAUACCAAAUAACAAGCAUUGUGAUUAUUGUACUAGAUAACAAUAAGCAUUAAUAAAAAGUAAUUAUUACAUUAUGAAUACACAAAAUUUACUAGAGAUGAAAAAAGUUAAAAAAUUAAAAAUUCGAUAAUUUAUAAUAAAGAGAAGUAUCUAAAUAUAAUAUCAAAUUCAAGCAAAAAAAUGGAUUUUUUUUUUCACAUUGGAUUUGUUUAAUAGUUUUUAAAUCUUUAAAUUAAUUUCUCGAAAAUUUUCAUAACUAAAAUCUCAUGACUAACCAUUUACACACCAAAAGAAUCUAAAAUUUAAAUUCAUAGUCAGCCAUUUAACAUUUUAUAUACUUAUUAUAAUUAGGAUGUAGCAUAAUAUAUAAAAGAGUGCACAUGAUAAAAAUAAUAUUAAUAUCCAUAAAUCACACCGAGUCAUUCUUGUUUUUGUGAGAAGUAAAUUCCCACAUAUGUGUUGAACUUGAGUAUAACAUUUGCUUAGUAAAACACACUCAAAUUACUUAAUUCCUUGCUUGACUAUAAUUUUUUAAUAAAACACAGAAAAAUUAGUUUUCUUUAUUUUGGUGCACGAGAAAAAUAAAACUAAGGGAGGAAUAAUACUUUUAACAUUUAAAUUUCCUCAUUGCAAUUUUUUAUUUCCAAUAAAAGUAAAGUCGUAUAACGCGCUCUUACACGUGAAUGACAUGCUAUAUUAAUUAAUGAAUAAGAAUUGGUGAAUGACAUGCUUAUAUGCUAGUAAAGUUUGAAUAUAAGCAUUGACUACAUAUACUAGUAUAAAAUAAAGUUUCAACGUUUCAAGUCGUUGAACGUCAAAUUACAGAAAAGACAAAAUUAAAAAGGACUAGUGAAAUUUUUGAAAUAAAUGUUCAAUUUUAGAUAUCAAAAUUUAUACUUUUCCAACAUCAAAUAUUCAUUGGAGGACAUUAUAUUGAAUAAAUUUUAUGAAAAUGUUUGAUGUGAAGGUGAAAAUGUAUAAUGUAUGAUGUUAAAUGCUUUAGUUUCAAAUGUAAAAGAGGUAUAAGAUGUCAAAAUAUCACUUUUCAGACUUGAAUUCAUUAAAAAAUUGUAUGGAAGAGUGAAAGUUUAUUCACUUUAUGUUUGCCUGAAACCUUCUUCUAUGCUGAAACCUAUCUCAGACGAAACUUUUAACAAUUAACAUAUGUAAUUUGUAUUUCAUUUUAUACAAAUACACGUUGAUUAACUACUUUAGGUAUGAUUUUCUUUCGUUUUGACCAAUUAGUUUUGUGUACAAGUACUCUCUUUGAAGCAGAGGCAUGUUCUCCUUUCUCCCUCCGUAAGGGCAAUGCUUUAUUCCGACAACAAACCCACUUUCAAAAAGGUUAAUUUCGUUUUCGUUUUUUAUGGACUAUAAAUUAGUUGAACUUGUUGUAUUAUUGAUAUUGAUAUUGUUGAAUUUGUUUAUUGUUAUAUAUAGUAUACAUCCAAACUUAUAGUAAAAGUGAAAGUAUAUUAAAAAAGCUCUAAAUGACAUAAAAAUUUGUUCAAAGCAUAAAAAAAUCAUAAGAAACCCUUGCAAAAAGUUUAGAUUAAAAUUUAAAGUCUAAGUAUAUGAAAUAUUUUGUAAAGUUUGAAAAAUAAAAUAAAUUGACGAAAAAUAGAAACUGACUUUUUUCUUUAAAAAAAUUUAGAAAGAGCAUCUAACCGUGCAAGUUAUCUUGGGCUUGAAAAUUUUUUUCUAUUUUAAAUCAAUAUAUAAUAAUGUCAAAUCUGUUAACCGAAACAAAAGUUAUAAUAGCUUAAAGAUUUGUAAUAAUUAAUUUUUUAUAUAAUUUUUAAACUUCAGAUAGACCAAAAUAAGGAUUCAUGUUUUUUUUUUCUUCCUGAAAUAGGAAUUUCAAAGAGUGGUCAACACAAAUUUAAACAAAAAAUAAUAACUAUAGUUAUUAAAAUCAAAAAUCAAAAUUAAGUAGUUAAUAUACCUUACACACUAUAAUGUAUUUAGUUUUAAUAACUUUAGUUUAGUUUAUAGUUCACUGAAAAGAAUUAUGAAUAUAUGAAAUGUCACUAUACUACAUAUAUUUUUUAGGUUUGAUAAAAGUGUUAAAAUAGAUCAUUAUUUAUUAAAAAAGAAAAAUAAAAGAGUGACUUUCAAAAAUGACUAUUUUUUAACGUAAAGUAAAAAAAUAAUUAUUUUCAACGUCAAUUAAUGUAAAAAAAUGUCAUAAAAAUAUAUAAGUAUAAAAUUAUAAAAUUAUAAAGUUAUAUAAAACUACUAUAAAAUAAUAAAGUUAUAAAAUUAUAAAAACAUAAAAUUAUAUAAUCACAAAAUAUAAUAUUAUAAAAUUAUAAUACUAUAAAAUUAUAAAAUGAAAAAAUAUAAAAUUAUAAAUAAACUUUAAAAUAAUAAAACAAUACAGUAAAACAAUAACAUGGAUGAAAGGAAUUGUUUUUGUACAUACCCGGUGGUGGUGGUAAUAUGCAUCCGUGGCAAGUUAGCUGCUUGAGACAAAGCAGACCUCCAAGCCUGCAUUCUCUGCGACUCUUUUCCAAACUCUUUUUCGUGUGCCUCCAUGUGUUUUCUGAAACUAUUUCUCAUUUUCUGUAUAUCUGAGGGAUCUACAUGGUAGAACACUGGAAGAACAACUUGCUUAAUGUUCGUAUGGCUGCGGUGGAUAAUCUUAACAAGUUCAUCCAGACACCAUGUGGAAGAUGCAUAGUUCUCAGAAAACACAACUAUGAAAACAUUAGAUUCUUCAAUGGCCUCAUGCAGAGCAAUUGAAAGAUCUGUCCCUAUUCUCAUAUCCCUGUCAUCAUGGAAACUGAGUAUUCCCCUCCUCCCCAACCCUUCACGGAGCUGCCGUAGAAAGGUAUGCCUAAUAUCUUCACCUCUAAAACUAAUGAACACAUCAUAGCGAGAACACUCUUCUUCCUCACCAUGUUUUUCCAUCUUAAAAAAACCAAACUACGACUAAGGAUAGAGCAGAGUAUCUAUUUAACAUGGAAGUAAGGUUCCUGGAAGCUGCUCUCGUCUAUGCCCAUUCCCUCAACAUGAGGGUCCAAUCAUCCAGACACUACAUAUGAUUCCUGACAGUCUUUGACCAUCAAUCAAUACUAAUAUAUUAUUCAUGCAAAAACCAAAUUUUAUGUAAUGGUUCUAUAGACAAUAUUCUAUACAUAAUAAUUCACGCAGUAAGCGUUUGACCAUCAUCCACAAUCAAUAUAUGUGGUAUGGUACACUGUUUCAAUUGUACAGCUGUAGAUAUAUAAAUAUAAAAAUUUAUACUUCUAUAUUAAAAUCAAUUUUAUGGCAUUAGUUUUCUAUUCUAUCAUUGAUAGAAACGUGUUUGUUAAGUUACCGUAUUUUUUUGUUUUUUGUUUUCCUCAAGAUCAACUCGUCAACUCCUACCUAUAGUAUAUAUUUAUUACUAGUAAAUCCAUAGGCAAAUUAUUGUAGACACUGAAUUCUACAUAGCUUUAUUUUUUAAAAUAAUUUUUUAUUUAGAAAAAAAAAAUAUAGCAACAAAUAUUUAAAAUUAGAGAAAUAUAAAACUUUUGUUUAGAAAUAUAUUUUUUGUUUAGAAAAAUAUUUAUUUAAAAAUUAUAUAAAAAUAUAGUUUUAAUUGGUAUUUAUAAAACUUUAAAAUAAAAAUAUUAAAAUUUCUUAAAAAAGUUUUAUUUAGAAAAAAAAUGUAAAAAUAAAUAAUUUAAAAUAUAGAACUUUUAAUUGAGGUUUAUAUCAAUUUGGAAAAAAAGUAGAGCUAUCAAAACCAGUAACCUGGUUCAAUCCGGUCCACCAUGGGUUGGUGAGUUAAAUGGAUUGACUCACUAGUUCAUUUAAUUAUAAGUUUUUUUUAAAAAAAUAAAAAAAAUAACAAUUUUUUUUAAUUCAAAUCUAAAUAAACGUCACACUAAAAUGGUGUUAAAUUCCAAAGAUAAUUCAAAAUAAAAAAAAAUAUCAUACAAUCCAAGCAAAAUUCAAAAACAUUUACAAAAGACAAACAAAUAAGUUUUUAAUAUUGAUAAUUUUUGUAUCACUUAUCCAUUUAUAAUAUUAAAAUCUUGAAUAGAUAAAUCUAUAAUAUUUUUUUCUCUUGAAACAUCUUCUUUAUCAUAUCUACAAUAUAAUAAAAAAACACUAACUAAUAAUUAUAAAAUAAUAAAUAAUUAAAUUAAAUUAGUUUAAUUACUCUUUGCACACUUCAAGUGGGAGCUAGAAGCCCAACAAGAAGGAUCCGACCAACCCAUACCAACCCAUGGAGAAGGAUAGCAACUUCAAGACAACCCAAGUAGGGUGGCGUUGGAGCACUAAAACCAAGGGCGCUCAAACGCGUGCUGUACUGCAGAAUCUAGGAAGCUCAAAUUGCUCGCUGGAGCGCCGAUCAAGGGCCGCUCAAGCGCGAGCCUCGUCCAACUAGUUCAUUUAGCACGUGGUUCAUAUGUUUGUGAUGACCCAACACCUGAUUUGCAACCAUCCACGUGGUAUUUGAUCCAUAUAUCAUGACUGAUGAUCAACAUUGUAAAUCUGGUGCAUAACAGGGGUGAAUCAUCUAUAAAUUCACCCACCUUACUUUGUAGAAAGGAACUUUUUGAUGAUUUAUAUGAGUAUAUUUUGAUGCCAUGACCAAUCCAUACUCUGCACAAAAGUCACUCCAAAUGAGCUUUCUCCUUCACCACCUAGCUUCCUUUUAGAGAUGGAAGGCCGUAUGAGCUAGUCUCAUCCACCGUGAGCUCUCCUUCCACCAAUUCCCUCACUGAUUUCACCCUUUUCCCGCUGCUGCCAACCAUAAGCAAAUCCAUCCGUUGCUUCAUAAUCCAUCCCAAGCUGGAACGAGCCAUCAAUUAGUUUGUAAAACCAAAAAUGGUUAAACUUGUUUGUAAUAUUUAAAAGAUUAGUUAAAUCUCUUAAGAUUGCUUAAGAGAAAAUUAGACGUAGUUUAGUUUUGAGUGUACUAAAAGUAAAGUCUUCCUUUGUGUUUCUGUCAAGCUGUUUUACUAAAAGCUUUACUAAAAUUCUUAAGCAUUCAACACUACCUACAAACUGUCUAAUCCCUAUAAUACUAUCUAACACUUAUUUGUAAAAAAGUUUCAAACUUUAUUCAAAUGCUCUCUUUUCAGAGUUUGCCUCUCUUUCCUUAGAAUACCACAAUUGAUCAUGAUUUUUUUCUUACUUUUCAUUAUACCAUUUUAUAUAUUUGAAGCAUAUUUUUCAAAUCUAUUUAUAAUUGAAUUUUUAAUGAUUAAAAAAAUAUUGAAUGUCAUUGUUAAAACGACUAUUACUCUUAACCUAUUUUAUAAAUUCUUAAUUUUUUCUUAAAAAAAGAAUUUUUUUACCCUCGAAAGUUGAGAUAUCAAGUAGGGGAGAUAAGGAUACACUUUUCUCAUUUUCUCUUAUAAUGACCUCUAAUAAGAGAAACACAUUUUGCCAACUUCUUAUCCUGCAAUGCAAACUCGACUUUGCAUUUAUUUUAUUUUCAUUAAUAUUGGUUUGUUUACAGUAAAACAGACAUAUCAUUAGCAUCUGCAGUGAGAGGUUGCUCAGUUUCUGUGUGGAGUAAGGAGAUUAAGUAAGAGAGCCUGUGCUUCAAGGAGUCCUGCCCUAAGCCCAUUCAAGUAUAUUGCACCCAUCACAUCUUCAAACUCUUCUGAUCUCUUGAAUCCUUCAACCCCAGCAUCGUACAGCCUUUCUAUUUCUUCACCUCUUUCUCUCAAAACACCACUAAUCUCUUCAUAUUUUCCCACACCAUCAAGCUUCUCUUCUCUCUUCUUAACACACUCAUCAUAUUCAUUUUCAUUUCCAUCAUCAAGUUCUGCAAAUUUGUUGCGCAGAACUUCGUGUUCCUCCUUCAACUUCCAGAACAGUUUAUUCAUCACCUCGCCUUCAAAAUUACUUUGUUGCUUCAUCUUCAUGAAUAUUUGCAUCAGAGGGUCCUCAGAAGGAGGAACUUUCACUGUACUCCAAUCCAAAUGUGGGAACCCCAGCUUUUCUUGAGAGGCUGAUACAAAAAUUCCUUCGAUCCCUUUCCUUUUUGCCACAGUAUUUAUUGUUGCCCAGAUGUCCAAAUCAGGAAACCUCAGCUUUGCUUCUUUGAGUCCAGAGUAAAUUCCAGUCAUGUAUAUCCUACUUUCCACCGAUAUUUGCUCUUCUACUUCAGGUGCCCAUCUAACCUUAUCACCCUUCUCCAACACAGCGUUACUGGUUUCAGCAAUAUCUAGAGAAGGAAAUCCAUUCUGUGCCUCAACAAGUCCAUCCCUCAUUCCUUCACACAAUAAUUCCAUCACUAUGUCCUCCGGCAGAGAAUCGUCUACUGUUUGUUUUCUGACAACAAAAUUAGUAUAAAAAGGGAUAUCGUAGCCUUCUUCCUCCUCCUUGCUUUCCUGAUGGCCAGAGCUUGAAGCUUCUCCUACGUUAUCCUUCUUCUUCCCUGUCACUGGUUCCUCUAGUCUUAUCAACGCCAGAUCAUCUUUGAAAAUCACUUUAGGCUUUCCGUCAUCAUUUUCUACCGUAUCUAGAAGCCACCUUAGGUAGGAGUUUGGAUCUUCUAAAGCUGACCCAUUUGAUUUCAAUGCAUCCUCAGCAUCCUUUGAUAUCUUCUUAGAUUCUCCCAAUACCGUACGGAUGCAAUCGUCAUGAACCCCCGCCCCUCCUCUUUCUUUGUCCUCCUGCCAUUCCGUCAACGUGUUCUUAAAUGUUUCGUCCAGACGUAGCUCGCGUAUCAUCUUUCUAUAUUUCUCCAUAGGAUCUUUCUCAGGAACUAUUGCCGGUGGCAUCUUCUCUGAGUCCAUGUGAUUGGGACAAUUGAAUAGGAGAUCUUCCAUAUUGCUUCCUUCUUCAUACAAAAACACUCCCCAACUACUUAUCAUCAAGGACGAAGUGGCUUCAUACUCAACCUGCACCACAUUCCACUCCUUCUCCAGAAGUGCAUCAAGGCCAAACCACUCCUUCUCACUGAACAAAACUCGUAGAUCACAGAUCAACACGUGUCCUGCUUCAAUUAUAAAGUUGUGAUACCCUUUGCCAAAAGCAUUUCGACCGUUGAUAACUAAACGCAGAUCAACAUGGCGACGGCGAACAAAUUCGUCGCUUUGACUCUGAUUUGGGAAGUGGAAGAUCAUGGCUAGAACAAUGUUAGGGAACUUGCCACGAACCCAGAAACCCGGAAUCGUUCCGACCUCCACAAAAUUAAACCAUUCUGGAAUCUCAGUUAUAAGUGGCAUCACCAUUUCAAUUCCACCAACCCCUUUCUUCACCUGUCAUAUUUUAUUGUAACAGUUUCAAUUGUCACUUCUGUAUGCAUUUUAAUAAAUCUUAUCCAUUCACGACAAUGACUAAAAAUACCUUAAAUACAAGUCAUUUUAAGAAAAAUGUGAAGGUACAUAUAGGUAUCAAAGAUGCUGGAAGUUGUUAGAAGUUUUAAUAAAUAUGCAACUAUAUGUAAAGUUCAUAUUCAAUAUUUGUAAUUUUAAACCAUUAUAAACAAAUAUUUUACAUUAUAAAAAUGAAAGGUUUAUGUUACAAUAUGUAAGUUUUACGUAUGAAAAUUAAACAUGUUAGUAAAUAUUUAAAAAUGCAUAUUUUAAAUCCAAAGAAAAAAAGUAUGAAAAAAUAAUAAUAUUUGAAAAGUGACCAUACAUAUUUAUUUUAGAAAUUGUGUAAAUAUUAUUAAAGGUACAAGAUGUAACUUAAAUAAUAGACUUAUACCUGACACCAUAGCAUGUCUGAUGUCUCUUUUGUUAACUUGAAACAAAAUCUUGCAUCUACUUUCUCAACAGUAGACGGCAACUCUGAAAUUUCUUCAAGGUCUGAACAAUGAUGAACAUCAAGAAUUCUCAAGCUAGUGAGUUCUGGAAUUUUUUUAAGCUUCUUACAUCCAUUCAAAUCGAGACUUGUCAAGUCACCACAUUCCUUGAUGCAUGAAGGGAUAUAUACAAAAUUGUUCUCUGAAACAAUCAAUUCUUCCAAUUUCGGAAAGUAGCAAAGAAUCGCAAGAAGAUCUUCAUCAGACAAGUUACCCUUUUGAAAAUUCAGUGAUCGUAAUUUCGGACGAACAUUGACUUUUGAAGGGUGUUGAACCAAACUUCUGAAGGAUUGUCCAAGUUUCGAACAUGCUUCGAUUUUGAAGGAAUCAACAUUUGGCAACAUGAAUAAGCUGCUUGGCAGAUAUUUAAGUUGCCUGUUAUUCGAUAUGUCUAUAAAAACAAGCCCAAUAAGUUUACUAAUGGAUUCCGGAAGCUCUUGAAUACCCGUAUUUAUCAUAUAAAUCUUCAAUGGCUUUGUCAUUUCUUGCAUUAUCUCUGGGAAGUGACCAACUCUUUCACAUAGAUUAAGAUCAAAAACUUCUAAAGAUGGUAGAAACAUUCUGGACAGGAAGUUUUGAAGUUUUGUGCAUUCUGAAACACUUAAAUGAGAAAGCUUUUUCAAAAAUCCAACAGAUUGAUGGACUGCAAUUAGGUUUCUACAAUGAUCAAGUCUCAGUUCUCUUAGAUUCUGAAGUUCAGACACAUCAGGUAUUUCGAUGAUACGUUGGUUAUAUGAAAAGUCCAUAUUAGUCAAGCAUGGAAAUUUCUGCCAAAUACAAAAUGUCAAUAACAAUAAUAAUAAAAAAAAAACAAUCAUUUGCAGCAAGUUGAGUUAUUACCUUAUUAAUGUGAAUGAAAAAAUUGAAACGCAAAAAGUAGGAAAAUAUGAUAUAGAAUUGUACCUUGAAUGGGUCUUGGAAUGUUAGAGAACUUCUAGGCAAAUUGAAAACAACGAUUUUCUUUGGAUGGAAUUUUUGGGGGAAAGACUUUGAAGGAUAGUUGUCCCAGUGAAGUAGUCUUAAAUGAUUUGGUAAAUGUUGAAGUUCAGAUGAAAAGGAUGUGUUUCGAACAAUUAGAAUUCUGAGCCAUUUCAUUUUCCCAAACUCAGUUCCACUCCAUUUUACUUCUGCUUGCUUAGGAGGAUCUAGCUUAAUCCCUUGAAUCUUAUCACUUCCCUUUAACACAAGUACAAAGAACCAACAUCAAUUGCAUAUUAUCAUUAAUAUAAAGCACUGUAAUGUAUAAAUAAAAAACAAAUAAAGCAAAAAAGUAGACGAUUACCGAAUCUUUCGUUAGUAUUUCAAUAACAUCUUCGUAAUCCAAUAUUCUGCUACGUUGUCCAGGAUUAUCUGGUGCUUCCUGCCUAACAAUCUGUCUACCCAUAUCUUGUAUUAGAUCAUGCAUCUUCAGCCUGUCAUUCUCGAUAGUUAUGAGUGAUUUAUUGACAAGUACUUUCAUGUUGGAUGUUGAACAAAAUUCCUUAAGUAUCUUUUUCACAUAUUCCAUUCUCUCCCCUUUAAAGAAGCAAGCUAUGUCCAAGAAAACUUGUUUGGCAUCAACAUCCAAUCUAUCGUAGCUUAUUUUAAGCACAUCUUGAAUCUCUUUCUUUGAAGGAGUCUUCUCGUAUUCUUCCAAUGCAUCUUCCCAGGCAUCUAAACUUUCUUCAUGAAGAUUAGCUAAGUCAGAGGCUAUCACCUGUAUAGCCAGUGGAACACCUUUGGCGUAACCUGCAGCACGCACGGACACAUCUUGAAAACCUGUUUUAGGACAACCUUGUCCGAAGGCAUUCCAACAAAAGAGCUCUAAAGAAUGUUGUUCAUCAAGUUCCUUCAUUUCAUAAAUAUUUCCAACAUGGUGAGCAUUUAGGACAUCUUUUUCCCUUGUGGUUACAAUGAUCCUACUACCUGGACCAAACCAAUCACACCCUCCUGCCAACUUUUCUAACUCUUCUUUAUCAUCAACGUCGUCAAGAACCAAAAGAAGUUUCUUCCGGUGGAGCUUUCGUUUUAUUUCGUAUAUUCCUUUAUAUGCACUUCCCAAUUCAGUUUCCAACUCCUCAAACAUCUCAGAUAAAAGUGUCUUUUGUAGAUCUUCCAUGCCAUUGAUUCUUUUUGAGUUUUCUCUAACAUCGGCAAGAAAACUUGCAGCAUCAAAGUUGUGCACAAUUUUAUCAUACAAAGCUUUUGCAAGUUUUGUUUUUCCAAUUCCACCAAGUCCAUAUAUGCCCAACAUCCUUACAGUUUUGUCAUUAGGCUUCAUGUCCAAAAGUGACAUAACCUCUUCUACUCGGGGCUUCAGUCCAACAACAUUUUCACCCGUAUAUAAAGGUUUAGGAGCUAUGCUUCUACGAACCUUUUCAACAAUUUUUUCAAUAAUAUCGUUUUCAUCAUUCCUAUAGGACCAGAAUGCAUUAAUUAUUUUUUUGAUAUCAAUAUUUCCUUUUUAGUUAUUCUUAUUAUAAGAAAGACACAAUAUAUUCUUAGUAAACAUAUCAAAUUUGUUUUUUUUUCCUUUUCUAUUUCUUUAGAUGAUUAAUAGAAAAAUAAUUUAUCCUUUAAUAUUCUUUUUUAGUCGUACUUCUUUAUUAGUUUAUCUUUAAAUUCAUAGUAAGAUAUUGUAAUUUUAUUUAUUAGUAAAAUUAAGCUAUUAUGUUUUUUUUUAUUAUAAACUUGUAUAUUAUUAUUUUGAUGUCUAAUCUGUCAAUGCCUCACAAGAAUAUAAUAAAGUAAUAAUAAUUUAACGUAAAUAUGUUAGACAUAUGGAAUCACAUAUCAUUGUCAAAUUUGACACAAAAAUACUGUUCUUCGCAUUUCUCGGAUUUGUUUCUCAUUUUCAUCUCAUAUAUGUUAAUUUAAUGUUGUCGAGGGUUUCCUAACGUUAAAAUAGAAACAUUAUAUUACACAAUCAAGUUAAUUAGUUAGUUAGCUUUCAAAAUUUAGAAUGAGAUAGAAAUAAGAUUGAAUGAUUUUGUAAUGAAAUUGUUGAUGUACAUACCCGGUGGGAACAUGCAUCCCUGGCAAGCUAGCUGCUUCAAACAAAGCAGACCUCCAAGCUUGUAUUCUCUGCGACUCUUUUCCAAUCUCAUUUUCGUGUGCCAUCAUGUGUUUUUCGAAACUAUCUUUUAUUUUCCUUGUAUCUGAGGGAUCUACAUGGUAGAACACUGGGUAAACAACUUGCUUACUGUUGAUGUGGGUGCGUUGGAUAAUCUUAACAAGUUCAUCCAGACACCACGUGGAAGAUGCAUAGUUCUCAGAAAACACAACUAUGAAAAUAUUAGAUUCUUCAAUGGCCUCACACACAGCUGGUGAAAGACCUUCCUCUGUCCUCAUAUCCCUGUCAUCAUUGAAUGUGUUUAUUCCCUCCCUACCCAACUCUCUACGGAGAUGUCCUACAAAAUUUUUCCCAGCAUCUUCACCUCUAAAACUAAUGAACACAUCGUAGCUGAAACCAUCAAACUCUUCUUCCUCACCAUGUUUUUCCAUGCUAAAAAUACCAAAACUAGAACUAUAAUGAUGCUGAACUGCUUUCUUCUAUUGAUCAAUGUGUUAUUAAAUACAGUGUCUUACGCGGAUAUACACGCUAGCUAAGCUUCCUGGAAGGUGAUCUCUUACAGUGUCUUACGCGGAUAUACAGAUAUUGUUAUGUUUAUUAUUAUAAAUGGUAAGCUGCUCAGAUGUCAGACCUCACAUGGCCUAAUAAAAUAGAGGAUAUGACGAUGGAUACAUAUGGCCCCAUGAUGUACUUUAAAUGUGGUGGUUAGGUUUUCGUAUCCCAGGACCAACUUUUUCAAUGAUAUAGGAUAAGAAAAUUUUGAUGUCUAAUCUGUCAAUGCCUCACAAGAAUAUAAUAAAGUAAUAAUUAGAAGAUAAUCAUCUUAUUGUAAAAGAAAUCUCUUUUGUUCAGACAGACUUUUGGUCUUUUUUCUUCAUCCUUUUGGAUGGUUCUGAGUGACAUGCAGGAAUAAUAAUAGAUGAGGUUUUUGUCAACCUAUUGGAUGAGAUUAAUUAGGAUAUAUUAUAGGACAAGGAAUGGAGCAACUUCAUAAAUGAUCCAACAUAUACAAUAAUUAAUUAUCAUUAGUAGUGGAUAAUUUAUCAUAUUAAUUUUCUUUGUUCUUUAGUGUUCCAUCUUUUUUGAUAGUACUAAUCUUUAUUUGAUCUUCACUCUCAUACAUGAUGACUACCGAUACUACCUAAUGUCUGCACAUGUUUUCAUGUUUUAUUUUCUAAGGAUAAGGAAAAAACAAUAUAGUUUUAUCAUCAAAUACAACGUGCAUGUAUAUUAAUGUUCAUUAAUUAGUAUAUAUAUGAAAUUGGGGACACAGCAAAACAUAACCAUCAUUUUUGAGAUAGACAGUAAGAUAUGAGUUUAAAUAAUUAAAUAAUAUAUCAUCUGCAGAUUUCCCAAUACCCUCAUUCAGUUGUAGAUUUCAGCGUCAAAAUGUCUCUCUAUAAAUAUGUUCAAGAAGAAUAAAACCUAUCCAUGAGGUGUUCCGAAAGGCCUCAUCUUCCAUAAAGAAAUACAGUAAAAGAUAGAAUCAAAAUUGAACUUUUUCUGAUGAGGGUAUUAAUCAAAGUGGAAUCAACACUUUAAAAUGCCACUUUUAUGUUUUUCUCAUCACCUUAAAAUGACUCAAUGAAACCUUUAUGUAUCAUAUCAUACCACUGAGGAAAUAGACAGGAAGGAACAAGCCUCAGUUUCCAACCUAAGACUCUACCAACUUAAUAUUGUCAUUUGGAAGUCCCAUGUCGUUAAGAAUAUUAGAUAAACUAGUCUUUAUAAAUCUUCUGACAAACAUGUCAGAUCGCCGAGCUGGGUAACGUCAGCUUAUGACCUGAGUGGGGGCAACAAGGUGAUUGAACAAGGCUAUGACUUGCUAAACUGGUCUGGAGGUUGCAACUUGCUGGCCUGCCCACUCCAAGUUGAGAAUUGAGCCAUGUGUCCUUUGCGAAGGCAUGGGUUUCCUGGUUACUAGACAGGAGGCACCGCGUGAGGCUGGUUUCACAGAGCAGCGACAACCUCCGGUUCUUGACUCACCAAAU